UUUUCUGUCUCUAUGACUGUUUCACAUUAAAAAAAGAAAUUCUGAUUUAUAUGUCUUGUAUACCACUUUCAAAUUAUAUAUAAUAUGUGAUAUAAAUGUAUUUCCAAACAGCAAAUCGGAUCUUCUUGUGAACUUUAGGGACUCAUGCAUCUUUUUUGAUUAAAUUUUGUUUCUAUUAUGACAUUUUCCACUCAAGCAUAUACGUCUUUGCUUCAGUUCACACUCCCUAGACCAAAUCUGUAUCAUUUUGACUGUGGUGACCUAAUAAUAUGCAGCUGACAGACAGCAUUCACAGUAUUUGCUACAGAGAAGAAAGGGAUGUUCUCUCAUUAUGAGAAUACAAUACUGCAGAAAGCUUCUGUAGGAGUAGGUGGGAGCAGAGUGAUUACACAAUGCUUUGAGUGAGGUGCUGCUGUAGUCUCUCGCUAUAGAAAUGUAACUAAUUCAGCAACAGUUUGUUUGCUACCAGCAUUGAAGUAUCACUUAAUAUCACAGGAGGAUGUUGAAGACACCAAAUCGGCUGCCACAGAGAGGAAAGAUAAAGUCCACUUUCAGGAGAAAAGUGAAAAAUGCAACCUUUAGACAACAGAUAACAUAGACGAAACUAGAAAUAUAGCAACUGGUACACCACUUUAAGCUCCUCCAUCUCAGAGAUCAGCAGGAUGGAUAAAUUGUCUUCUUCAGAGGCCUUCAUUUGUCUUCCUUUGACAGAGUGAGAAGAGGACGCAGUAUACCAUGAUAAUGUCACAUGUACUUUCUGAGGUGACACUGAGUCAGGUACUGGAAGCAGUGAGCUUAUGAAGGUCAAGCACCCCUCAACAUUGAGGGCCAGGGGCCUAAUAAUAGAUCUUGAUACAAAAUGUUAACAGUAAACUGACAACAAAUUCAUGAGUCACAGCCGUACACUUGUCUCUGUGGGCUUUAUCACAUCAUUGUGACAGUGCAGAGGAGUAAAAGCAGUUAGCAGCACUACACUGUAACAUGAAGCUUUUUAUUGAAAGACAUAGCCUCUAUUUCUAUGCACAUUAAUAUUGUGAAAAGAUUUUUCAAUUCACAUAAUCAAAACCUUCAUUUACUCAAAUAACUAAAGGAAUGUAGAUGCUGUCAAUGCAGACAAUUCAAGUGAAAUCAUCAAAUCUUUAUUUUUUUGAUCAUUGUUUAAAAAGCCGUG